AUUGAACGCUCGCGGAAUGCUUUACACAUGCAAGUCGAACGGCAGCACGGACUUCGGUCUGAUGGCGAGUGGCGAACGGGUGAGUUAUGUAUCGGAACGUGCCCAGUCGUGGGGGAUAACGUAGUGAAAAUUAGGCUAAUACCGCAUAGGAUAUCUGGAUGAAAGCGUGCGAUCGAACGACCUCGCGCGAUUGGAGCGGCCGAUAUCAGAUUAGGUAGUUGGUGGGGUAAAGGCCCACCAAGCCAACGAUCUGUAGCUGGUCUGAGAGGACGACCAGCCACACUGGAACUGGGACACGAUCCAGACUCCUACGGCAGGCAGCAGUGGGGAAUUUUGGACAAUGGGCGAAAGCCUGAUCCAGCCAUUCCGCGUGCAAGAUGAAGGCCCUCGGGUUGUAAACUGCUUUUGUACAGAACGAAAAGGUUUCUACUAAUACUAGGAGCUCAUGACGGUACUGUAAGAAUAAGCACCGGCUAACUACGUGCCAGCCGCCGCGGUAA
rnacentral:rRNA from 1 species